rnacentral:rRNA from 1 species
ACGGCUCAGUAACACGUGGACAACUUACCCAAGAGUCCGGGAUAACCCCGGGAAACUGGGGAUAAUACCGGAUAGGUCAUCUUUGCUGGAAGGCUUGGUGGCUGAAACUUCCGGGGCUUUUGGAUGGGUCUGCGGCUGAUUAGGUUGUUGCCGGUGUAACGUACCGUCAAGCCUGUAAUCAGUACGGGUUGUGGGAGCAAGAGCCCGGAGAUGGAUUCUGAGACACGAAUCCAGGCCCUACGGGGCGCAGCAGGCGCGAAAACUCUACAAUGCAGGCAACUGCGAUAGGGGAACAUCGAGUGAUCCUCAUAUUGGGGGUCUGUCCACCCGUCUAAAAAACGGGUGUUAGCAAGGGCCGGGCAAGACCGGUGCCAGCCGCCGCGGUAAUACCGGCGGCUCGAGUGGUGGCCGAUAUUAUUGAGUCUAAAGGGUCCGUAGCCGGCUUUGCAAGUCUCUCGGGAAAUCCAGCGGCUUAACCGUUGGUCGUCCGGGGGGUACUACAUUGCUUGGGACUGGGAGAGGUAGGAGGUACUCAGGGGGUAGGAGUGAAAUCCUGUAAUCCUUUGGGGACCACCGGUGGCGAAGGCGUCCUACCAGAACAGGUCCGACGGUGAGGGACGAAAGCUAGGGGCACGAACCGGAUUAGAUACCCGGGUAGUCCUAGCCGUAAACGAUGCUCGCUAGGUGUCACAACAGUCGUGAACUGUUGUGGUGCCGUAGGGAAGCCGUGAAGCGAGCCACUUGGGAAGUACGACCGCAAGGUUGAAACUUAAAGGAAUUGGCGGGGGAGCAC